AUGGUAUGCAGAGGGAGGUGUGACACAGAAGCACAGGAGAAGAACCAUCAGAGACACAAGCAGUGACUAGGCUUACAUUGUCACAAGCAAAGGAACACCUGGGACCCGAAGAGCAGAAGUUUCUCCCCGGACCCUCUGAAUGGGCAGAAGGACUGCAGACCACUUACUUUUGAACGUCUUGCUUGCAGAACCGUAAAUAACCACUCAUAAGCUUGGGUUGUGAAAUUCUCAGAGGCAAGCUCAUCACCAGAUGUGGCCCACAGAGAGAAGAGCCCCAGCCUGGCUCUGAGUCCACAUGCAAGGAAGGGCGACCAUGCCCAGAAGAGGAGACGAAUCUCCAUUGUGACGUUGCUAGAAGAUGCUUGGUGGGACAAUGUAGAAGGUUUCCUCCCUGGUUUCAGAGCAGGCUGCUGCAGGUAGGAGGCAGACAUGCCCUCAUUGCUCUACUUACACAUGUCAUCCCUUAUGCCUCUUCUGUUGCUGUGGUGAGAGUAUAACCUCAUCCAUCACCUAUGGUGGAAAGUUUAUGCUUUCUUGUGUGCUGCCCUUGAAGGCAGGGACUGAGUCUGACUCACGGCAGUGACAGGUAUGUCAGAAACCUGCCUUACUUAUCAUCUAAUGCAAGUGUGUGUUCAUGUGUGUGCAGGUGCAUGUGUGUACAUGUGCACAUGGAGGGUAGAGAUCAGCCUCAAGUGUCGUUUCCCAGUCCAAUUUGUCGUUUCCCAGUUUUGGAGACAGCAUCUUUAUCUUUCACUGGCCUGGAGCUUGCCUGGUAGACUAGGCUGGCCAACCAGUGAGCCUUCCUGUCUCAUCUCCCCAGUGCUGGGACUACGAACACGCCACCAUGCCCAGACUUAUUUCUUUCCAUAUGGAGUUGGAGAUCAAACUCAGGCCUCCACACUUUUGAGGUUACCUCCCUCCCCCAGCUUCCACCUGCCUUUAGCAAGGGACACCUUCCAUGAUAAACCAGGCAGGCCUGGCAUUUUCCACAAUCCCCACCUGAGUCUUCUGAUAGACCUGAGGAGAGGCAAAGUUCCUCAUAGACGGAUGCCGGGAACACACAAUGCAUGGGGAUGCCAUGGAGGACGGCAGAGAGGACUGAGGCCUUCAGCUCCCCUGAAGCAACAUUUACUUGACAUUGUAAACCGAGGGAUGCACACUGGGGAUGGGACUCUGACCCUCUGUGAGAACAGCCCAGGAACUGUGUGUUGCAUUGCGGAAACCCUCUGAAGGGUCAGCACUGUCGAAACAAAACAAAGUCAAAAUGAAGACCCCAGGCACCCAGUUUAAUGCAAGCUGGAGUUCAGAUGUUGUCUCAGAUAUGAUUCUUAUUCAGCCAGUCAGUAUGUGUUUCCUGAAAUCUCACUGGUGUCACAGAGAGACAGCAGAGUGAUAUGCGUUGGCGGCCGGAUGACUUGAAAUGGCACUGCAAACACAAGAUGAUUUUACUUACGAAAUAUGGAGUUUUCAUAAAAUAGUUUGGGAUGAAGGAGACGGAGAAAAAGAACAAUGGGAAACCCCAGAAGACAAAACCUUUAAAAGUUCUUACGUGCUUGGUAUGCCUCUCCCUACUAAAUGUAAAAGAAAUCCCCCCAAAUAAAUAGUUUAAGAAAGUUUUGUAAACAGCAACUUAAUAAAAUUUACCCUAAUAAAGCUUUAUCAUCUGGUUUCAACAACAA
rnacentral:lncRNA from 1 species